UGGGGAAUAUUGCACAAUGGGGGAAACCCUGAUGCAGCGACGCCGCGUGAGCGAAGAAGUAUUUCGGUAUGUAAAGCUCUAUCAGCAGGAAAGAAAAUGACGGUACCUGACUAAGAAGCUCCGGCUAAAUACGUGCCAGCAGCCGCGGUAAUACGUAUGGAGCAAGCGUUAUCCGGAUUUACUGGGUGUAAAGGGAGCGCAGGCGGUCUGGCAAGUCUGGUGUGAAAGGCCGGGGCUCAACCCCGGGACUGCAUUGGAAACUGUCAGACUGGAGUGUCGGAGAGGCAAGCGGAAUUCCUAGUGUAGCGGUGAAAUGCGUAGAUAUUAGGAGGAACACCAGUGGCGAAGGCGGCUUGCUGGACGAUGACUGACGCUGAGGCUCGAAAGCGUGGGGAGCAAA
rnacentral:rRNA from 1 species